rnacentral:rRNA from 1 species
AUUGAACGCUGGCGGCAGGCCUAACACAUGCAAGUCGAACGAGUGGCGGACGGGUGAGUAAUGUCUGGGAGACUGCCCGCUGGGGGGGGGUAACUCCUGGAAACGGUAGCUAAUACCGCGUACCCUCGGAUGUGCCCAGAUGGGAUUGGCUAGUAGGUGGGGUAACGGCUCACCUAGGCGACGAUCCCUAGCUGGUCUGAGAGGAUGACCAGCCACACUGGAACUGAGACACGGUCCAGACUCCUACGGGAGGCAGCAGUGGGGAAUAUUGCACAAUGGGCGCAAGCCUGAUGCAGCCAUGCCGCGUGUAUGAAGAAGGCCUUCGGGUUGUAAAGUACUUUCAGCGAGGAGGCGUUACUCGCAGAAGAAGCACCGGCUAACUCCGUGCCAGCAGCCGCGGUAAUUC